ACCUACGGGGGGCAGCAGUGGGGAAUAUUGGGCAAUGGGCGCAAGCCUGACCCAGCAACGCCGCGUGAAGGAAGAAGGCUUUCGGGUUGUAAACUUCUUUUAAGAGGGAAGAGCAGAAGACGGUACCUCUUGAAUAAGCCACGGCUAACUACGUGCCAGCAGCCGCGGUAAUACGUAGGGGGCAAGCGUUAUCCGGAUUUACUGGGUGUAAAGGGAGCGUAGACGGCUGUGCAAGUCUGAAGUGAAAGCCCAGGGCUCAACCCUGGGACUGCUUUGGAAACUGUGGAGCUAGAGUGCUGGAGAGG
rnacentral:rRNA from 1 species